rnacentral:ncRNA from 2 species
GGGCGUUUACCACGGUAUGAUUCAUGACUGGGGUGAAGUCGUAACAAGGUAACCGUAGGGGAACCUGCGGUUGGAUCACCUCCUUA